GAAAAGUUUUGCAUUAAGCAAUAAUCAGACAAGACUCAACAUCAGCAAGGAAAAGAUCAGUGUCAGAGUUUGGUGUACUACCCACAAGGAAGCAAUGGCAUGCAUGCUGCAAUUGAAAAAACACAUUGAAGAGAUGAAAAGCAGCAAUAUGCAAGGUUUGCAAAUAACGUAAGCACAAGAGACAUGGUUUUGUAGCAACUGCUUGCCACCAUGACUGAGAAUGUGGACAUGUCAUCGAUACAUCAGUGAGGAGUGUCUUUCAGGUAAUCUUUUAUAGUGCUGCCAAGUAACUCUGCUCAUUAUG
rnacentral:lncRNA from 1 species